CCCUGCAUAUUUUGCUUAUCUUCCUUUGGCUCACGAUAAGGUUGGAUUAACAUUGGCUGCAGGUGAAAGAAGCCUUCACCAAAUAACAGUUUAUUUCUGCCUUCAUGGAUGCCUGAAGGUUGGUAAUCCAGGGUUGGGAUGGUUGUUUUGCUUUAAGAAGGCCUCAGGAAGAAGCUCUUUCUAGCUCUCUUGUCUUCCAACCCCAGGCUGUGGCCUCCGUCCUCAUGGUGCAAUGUGAUGGUUGAAGCAUCAGCCAUCAUAUCCAUGUUCCCAGGAACAGGAAAUGGGCACACACAUGGUGUCUUGAGGAUGUUUUCCUGGAAGUUGUCCAAUAACACUUCUACUUAUAAGUCACUGGCCAGAACUUAUUGCCAUUGCUGUUCGCAGCAGAGAGAAAAGCUGGACAAUGCAGCUUUAUUCCAGGCAGCUUUGUGUCCAGUUCAGCAUCGCGCUGCAAUUUUUACAGAAGGAAUGGAGAAUAGAUCGGGGGAGGGAGCAACCAGCAAUCUUGGCAACAUUGUUUUCUGAACACUAAAUAAAACCACUAGAAAAUAUCUAGAUUGAUUGGAUGACACCGGGAUGGGACUGUUAGUUUCGCAUGAAGAUUUAGUGGAGAAACCAUGUAUUUGUAUGGAUGAAGUGAAAUGAAUGGCCUGGCAGGCUUCUUUUCAAGGGCUCUCAUGCAUGCUCAGCCUCAGAUGCAUCACAUCGGUAGCAUCCUGUGCACCAUGAGGACUUAGGGACCCACGGGCCAUUUUCCUGAGAGACAGCAGCCAGCCAGCCCUGACCGCAGGAGCUCAGACAGCCAGAUAGCCCUAAGCAGCUGAGUCUGGUGGGCGAACUUUUCUGAGUGGCUGCCAGUUUGUGAUGGUCCCCACAGAAGCGCCUCUGUUAUUUUGUGCAGUGUGUCUCUAAGUAUUCCAGUGAGGACACCCACCACUUCUCUUGAAUGUACAGACUCCUCUGUGGGGGUUUUUCUCCCUGCUUGUCAGCUUCAGUCUUCUUUGUUCAGAAUCUUCCCUCUUCCUCUGGACUUACCCCUUCAACACGACCACAACCUCAAGAAUGUGAUGUUUGCACUUACAACGUUCUAUGAAAUCCAGCAAAACAGCCUCAGUGGACAACUCUUCUACUUAAGGAGAUUUUUGUUUUUCUCUUCUCUUGUUUAAAUCUAGCAUAGACACCUUUAUCAAGUACACGGGUAUGUCUUAAGUGACUUUUGUGGCA
rnacentral:lncRNA from 1 species